CAGUCGCCGCGGUAAUACGAACCGUGCGAACGUUAUUCGGAAUUACUGGGCUUAAAGCGCGUGUAGGCGGGUCGGCACGUCGGUCGCUGAAAUCCCCCGGCUCAACCGUGGAAGUGGCGCCGAUACGGCCGGCCUGGAGGGGGGUAGGGGGGCCUGGAACUUCCGGUGGAGCGGUGAAAUGCGUUGAGAUCGGAAGGAACGCCCGUGGCGAAAGCGAGGCCCUGGACCCUUUCUGACGCUGAGACGCGAAAGCCAGGGGAGCGAACGGGAUUAGAUACCCCGGUAGUCCCUGUCUCUUAUA
rnacentral:rRNA from 1 species